UUCCGGUUGAUCCUGCCGGACCCUCCUGCUAUCGGGGGAGGACUAAAACAUGCAAGUCGUGCGUCUCCAAGCCAUGGUGGAGACGCGGCAUACGGCUCAGUAACACGUGGCUAACCCACCCUUGAGACGGGGACAACCCCGGGAAACUGGGGCUAAUCCCCGAUAGGAGAAGACACCUGGAAUGGGUCUCCUCCCAAAGGGCGCCUAGACUAUGCUUCUAGGCGUUGCUCAAGGACGGGGCCGCGGCCGAUCAGGUUGUUGGUGAGGCAACGGCUCACCAAGCCUAUAACCGGUACGGGCCGUGAGAGCGGGAGCCCGGAGAUGGGCACUGAGACAAGGGCCCAGGCCCUACGGGGCGCAGCAGUUGCGAAAACUCCGCAAUGCACGAAAGUGUGACGGGGCUACCCCGAGUGCCGUCCGCUGAGGGCGGCUUUUCCCCGGUGUAAGGAGCCGGGGGAAUAAGGAGAGGGCAAGUCUGGUGUCAGCCGCCGCGGUAAUACCAGCUCUCCGAGUGGUAGGGAUGAUUAUUGGGCUUAAAGCGUCCGUAGCCGGCCUGGCAAGUCUUCCGUUAAAUCCAACGAUUCAAUCGUUGGACUGCGGGAGAUACUGUUGGGCUAGGGGGCGGAAGAGGCCGACGGUAUUCUCGGGGUAGGGGUAAAAUCCUAUAAUCCCGGGAAGACCACCAGUGGCGAAGGCGGUCGGCUAGAACGCGCUCGACGGUGAGGGACGAAAGCUGGGGGAGCGAACCGGAUUAGAUACCCGGGUAGUCCCAGCUGUAAACGAUGCGGGCUAGGUGUUGGAGCGGCUACGGGCCGCUUCAGUGCCGCAGGGAAACCAUUAAGCCCGCCGCCUGGGGAGUACGGCCGCAAGGCUGAAACUUAAAGGAAUUGGCGGGGGAGCACCACAAGGGGUGAAGCUUGCGGUUUAAUUGGAGUCAACGCCGG
rnacentral:rRNA from 1 species